CAUCCUGGCUCAGGAUGAACGCUGACAGAAUGCUUAACACAUGCAAGUCGAUGGGGAAGUGGUGCUUGCACCAUGGUAACCAUGGCGGACGGGUGAGUAACGCGUAAGGGACUUACCUGCGGGACUGGGAUAACAGCAGGAAACUGCUGAUAAGACCGGAUAAGGUCAUGGAGCUGCAUGGUUUCAUGAUGGAAGGAGACGCCUGCGGAGAGCCUUGCGUCCUA
rnacentral:rRNA from 1 species